AUCAGAUUGAUUGUUUAAUAUUUAUUGGGAAAUUUCAUUUUGGUUUUAGUGGAUGCAUUAUAUUAGGUGUUUGAUAGCAUGGAUGAUUAGAGAUUUUAUUGAAGGUUUACCUUUGAUUUAAUUAAGAGGGAUAUGUCUUUACAUUUCACUUUGAAAUAAGUUAAAGUUCUAUUUGAUUUUAUUUUAUUUAGUUUUUUUUAG
rnacentral:lncRNA from 1 species